CCUACGGGAGGCAGCAGUUAGGAAUUUUGGGCAAUGGGCGAAAGCCUGACCCAGCAACGCCGCGUGGGUGACGAAGGCCUUCGGGUUGUAAAGCCCUUUUCUGAGGGAAGAUGAUGACGGUACCUCAGGAAUAAGCACCGGCUAACUACGUGCCAGCAGCCGCGGUAAUACGUAGGGUGCAAGCGUUGCCCGGAUUUAUUGGGCGUAAAGGGCGCGCAGGCGGCUACGCACGUCCGUUGUGAAAUCGCUCGGCUCAACUGGGCGGGGUCAGCGGAUACGGCGUAGCUGGAGCAAGCUAGGGGGCAAUGGAAUUCCCGGUGUAGUGGUGGAAUGCGUAGAUAUCGGGAGGAACACCAGUGGCGAAGGCGGUUGCCUGGAGCUUUGCUGACGCUGAGGCGCGAAAGCGUGGGGAGCGAUCCGGAUUAGAUACCCGGGUAGUCCACGCCGUAAACGAUGUCGACUAGGUGUCGGGGGUAUCGACCCCCUCGGCGCCGCAGCUAACGCAUUAAGUCGACCGCCUGGGGACUACGGCCGCAAGGCUAAAACUUAAAUGAAUUGACGGCUGAGCNGCGAGCGACACGAGGAGAG
rnacentral:rRNA from 1 species